AGAGUUUGAUCCUGGCUCAGAACGAACGCUGGCGGCAGGCCUAACACAUGCAAGUCGAGCGCACCCUUCGGGGCGAGCGGCGGACGGGUUAGUAACGCGUGGGAACGUACCCUUGUCUACGGAAUAGCCAUUGGAAACGAUGAGUAAUACCGUAUACGCCCUUCGGGGGAAAGAUUUAUCGGACAAGGAUCGGCCCGCGUUAGAUUAGAUAGUUGGUGGGGUAAUGGCCUACCAAGUCUACGAUCUAUAGCUGGUUUUAGAGGAUGAUCAGCAACACUGGGACUGAGACACGGCCCAGACUCCUACGGGAGGCAGCAGUGGGGAAUCUUAGACAAUGGGCGCAAGCCUGAUCUAGCCAUGCCGCGUGUGUGAUGAAGGCCUUAGGGUCGUAAAGCACUUUCGCCAGGGAUGAUAAUGACAGUACCUGGUAAAGAAACCCCGGCUAACUCCGUGCCAGCAGCCGCGGUAAUACGGAGGGGGUUAGCGUUGUUCGGAAUUACUGGGCGUAAAGCGUACGUAGGCGGAUCAGAAAGUAGGGGGUGAAAUCCCGAGGCUCAACCUCGGAACUGCCUCCUAAACUCCUGGUCUUGAGUUCGAGAGAGGUGAGUGGAAUUCCAAGUGUAGAGGUGAAAUUCGUAGAUAUUUGGAGGAACACCAGUGGCGAAGGCGGCUCACUGGCUCGAUACUGACGCUGAGGUACGAAAGUGUGGGGAGCAAACAGGAUUAGAUACCCUGGUAGU
rnacentral:rRNA from 1 species